UUUUUAGGCAGAGCUCUUGCUCUCUUUUUCUGAAGCUGCUAAAGGAUGCACAAAGGAUCUAUGUUUUGAUGCAUUUGUUCCUUGUGAUUCUUGUGAUGGGUGUGGCUAUCCACCAAAUGCCAAAGUUAAAGUUUGUCCAAUUUGCAGAGGCAAAGGGACUGUUACAAUUCCUCAUUUUACAUCAACAUGCAACACUUGUAACGGAUUGGGACGAAUAAUCAAGG